CUGUCUAAUAUGGGCUCCAGGUUUUUGACUGCUUUGGUUGAUAGUGCAGUAACCCUAGAAACGAAGGACACCUCACUUACAAGUUUUCUUCCUGUAGUGAAUGAUUUUUUGGACCAAAAAAUUUCUGAUCUUUUUUGGACCAAAUCCGAAAGUGAAGAAAUCAAGCUUGAACUGGGAAAAUUUGAAAAGAACCUGAUGGCGACUUUAGUGUUAGAAAAAUGUCUACAAGAAGAUUUCAAGAAGGCAGAGCUGCAUCUGUCUGCUGAAAGGGCCAAGGUUGACAAUCGUCUUCAGAACACGGACUUCCUAAAAGCAAAGUCACAGGAGUUCAGAUUUGGAAUCAAAGCUGCAGAGGAGCAACUUUCAGUCAGAGGCAUGAAUGCUUCUCUGUCUCCUCAGUGGCUAGUGGCACUAUCAGAUAAACUGGCAGAGCUAAAACAACAGACUAGUCCUUGGAAGGAAAAAUUGGAAUCCUAUUUAGAGUUAAUGCCGAAUCCAUCUCUGGCUCAAGUGAAAAUUGAAGAAGCAAAGAGAGAAUUAGAUGCCAUUGAAGCCGAACUUACAAAGAAAGUAGACAUGAUGUAACUGUGACUAGAACCAAAUAAACAUGCUUUUUCCUUAAAAAAAA